rnacentral:lncRNA from 1 species
UCGAAGUCUUCCUCCUCUAGCUUCCUUGCGCGUGCGGCUUGGCGCUGAAUCUGCUGAAACUUCGAGACUCCGUGCAUUGAGUCCUCCGGGGCCUCGGGCGGGUCGUCGUCUGCUGGGUUCGGGUACGAGUUACGACGAGCAGGUGCCGCCGAUAGCUGAAGGUUGCGGGAAUUUCGGGAGGAUGGUAAGUAAACCGGUUUGUAGGAGAAGGAAGAAGUGGUUCCGGCUAGAGAGAGGAAGAGUGGGUGAGGAGAGAGGAAAGUGAACGCCAUUGGAGAGAACUGAGGGAGAGUGAUGAAAAGGUUUUUCGAGGGGAUAAGAGUUUUUGUUGCGAAACGGUGCGUGUAGGAUCAGAGACGCCGUUCAUACGGUGCGUUUCGAGUGUGGUGAUACAAGGUGGGUUCGAAUAUAGUUUAAAUAGGUCGUAAUAAUGAUAGAGCCCACCAAAAUAGCCCACUUAAAAAGGUAACAUAUAAUAGGUUGAUUUAAUUCCUAUGUUUUUUAGUCAUCUUUGGAUUUAUUGAAAAAUUAAAACAUGAGUUAGAAAUUUAGAAUAUAAAAUCGUCAAAUGUCGAAAUCUAUAAAAGACAAAGCCAGCAAGUUCGCAGAAAGAAUAUUCCAGAGAGAAAAACCUGAACAAAUGAAUGAACAAAUGAACCAUAAACUACUAACUAGGAUGAAUUAGCAACAAAUGAUGUCAGUUGAAAGACUUCAGCCACUUAGCAUACUAAAACCAGAGAUUAAAGAUCAUUAAGUUUCUUAAUUUAUUGUUUACAAUUUAACGAAGCCACAAGAACACUUAUCCGCCUAAUCUAUUUCGGAAAUUGCUCUGGUCCAAGAUUGGGUUUCAGAAUCCGCAUGCAUGAACUAACCUUACUAGAAUAGUACACCCAACAGAAACAACUCAAACCAAAAGUAGAGCACCACAACCAAACAUAGACACCAACCAAAUGAAACCAUUGGAUAUAUAGGAUAAAACGACACGUCCCAAGUAGAGAGGAAACUCCAGAAGGACGCAGAAGAAACCACGUUGCUGCACAGACGCUUGAGCACAAGCAGAAAAACUAGCCAGAGCACCUCUGAAGUAAAAAAAUUAAUUUGCUUUUUAUAAUAUAAAGGAGUUGAAUUUUAUUUUAACUAUAUUCUAUUUUGGAAUAAAAAUUAGAGUAACGAAUAAAAGAUAAAUAUAUUAUUCUAUUUUUGAAAUAAUCAAACUUUUUUACUUCAUUAUAUAAUGAAAAAUGGAAUAGGAUCCGAGAUAAUUUCACUUCAAAUUCCAUUUUGGAGUAGAAGCUAAAUUAGGGUUAGAGAUACUCUUAGUGCAGCAUUAGACCACAUGACAUAAAACCACAUAGAAGAAACACAGAGAUCUACGCCUUCAAACUAGACAUCCUCUACGGUUGCAGCCGGGAAGCAAACGCCAUCACCCUUGUACAACUUAUGAUGCGCCGAUAUAACACUCCAGCUCCAGAACCAGAAAUCACCUUGGCCAAAUAGCUCACUAUCGAUCGGUCUCACUGCACAUAUAUAUAUACGGAAACAAAUUAAGCAUAAACAAAUCUCUCACUACGUUGGUGACAAAGCACUGGACACGGGAAAAUAGAGACAUGUGGCUCUUUUCUUCCUUGCACUCUUGUUUUUUUUUUUAGGUCGAACUCUUGAUUUUUAUAUUUUGUUUAAAAGGUUUUACUUUCAACAAUUAUGGUUCAUUCCACAACGUAAAUUAAAAAUCAACACAAUGGCUAGGUUCUCUCCAGCAGUUGAUACCUAAGCUUUUAAAAAUACUGAGAAACUGCCAUGUCAAUAAAUGAAAAAAGUUGAGAAGCCAAUCAAAACAUUUUAUUUAUACACAUCACAUUUAAUAUCGAUAGAUAAGCAUGUAAGCUCGAGAAUCUUCUUCAUUCUCUCCAAAUCCAGCGACCAUCGUUCUCAUGAGGUUUUGAUCUUUAUCUGAAGUAAGAUUUAAUCGAAAAGACAAAGCAUAGGGGUCCUACGACGAAGGAUUAAUCAGGAAGGGGAAGAAAUAAGCCGAUUAGAACCAAGAACGUAGUCGGAAAUGCAUUGAUUUGAUGGGGUAAAGAAAGGGAUACAUGUAAUAUUAUUAUUAACUGUCUCUCUCACACUCUUGAUGAUGCAACGAAUCUGAAAUUAGAAAUCUUUGAAUCUUCCAUCUUGCAUCAGAAUGCAUAAACGCCAAGAUCUAAGAUUUGUUGAUUUUGAAAGAAUUUGGGAAGAUAAUGAAGCAGAUGAUACACAGGAGAGAGAGAUGAUGACGCCUCUGUAAGAGAUGAUUCCGGAGGAGAUGAGUCCUAAUAUAAUAAUCACCCGGUCUCCUCAAGAGCUUCACUAUUCAUUUCAACAUUUGCUUAUUCUGUGAUUGAGUCUCUCAGCAGAAAAUCGUAGGUGAAAAAAAAAAGAAAAGGAGCGAAGAUGAUCAAGUGUCCAAAAAGACGAGUCAUGUCUUUUAAGGUUAUCAAGAGUGUUAGCUGAGGUUGAACAUAAAUUUGGAUGUUCUGCUCCUUUUUUUCUUGGGAUAUCUCAGAACAGCCUUGCAUCUUUCUAUGUUUUUCUUUGUGUGAAUGUUUGCAGAGAGGAAGCGAAGAUAGCAGCUUGGAAACAUAUGCACAAGGUUUGGGACAGUUGUGAGGAUGAAAAUAGAACCUGCCAUUAGAAAACUCGGGGUCCUCCGAUCCUUCACUUAUAUGAAAACUCACAAAAACCAAUCAAACCAUGAUGAUUCUACUGAAAUUUCUUUUUGCUUGAAUCACAUGUGAAGCUGGAGAAAAAGAAAUGAGCAUCACUGGAUAAGAUCUUGUACAAGCUUCAAACAACCAAGUUGAAAGCACGAGAGAUCUGGAGUUCAGUAUUCAGUGAUCAUGAACAAGAAAAAAAAAGUUUUGACUAUAGAUCCCUGCAAUAAAACAGUAGCCCAACCAUAAUCUUCUUUCCAUGCUUUGUACAUAUAAUUUUAAUAUCUAUCUAUACCAAUAUUUUUUUUGUUUAUUUGAAGUAGAAAUUACACUAUAUCGUUGUUAUGAUCUGUUUCAGGCUGUUGAAAAAACUUUCGACGAAUCAACUGUUCUUGCCGCAAAGUAUCAAAACCCCCAAAGGUCUUCAGGGUAAGUCUGUGCUAGAGUUUGUGAGCUUCAGAAGUGAAAGCAUAAAUGGAGAGAAAGCUUUUUAUAUUUAUCGUGUAUCCUUUAUCACAAUGCUUACACAUUCUGUUUUCUUCCAUCUCAAUAGCUACAACCCAAAAAGUUGGGAAAUGAGAUUCAUGACAUAGUGAUUGGUGUCAUAGAAGUUAUUGAGAAACCAGAAUUAAAAUCUUAUAUAUAGUUCCAGUUGGUUCUAAAGGUCUCCACCAAAACCUGUAAAGUUGACACACGUAAGAAAAGUCAUGGCUUGUGGUUAAUUUGAUCAAAGAUGCGUGUGUAUUGUUUUAUAGGAAAAUUAUAAAAUGAGAUAUGAUGAUGGUUAAAUAUUAUGCUCAUGUCAUCUAAAAAAAUAGACUGCACAUUCAAAGUGAUGAAACGAGCAGAGAAACAAGUUCAAUGAUUAAGAAUAUAAAGAUAUCUCGAACAAUAUGCAAUACAAAAAGAUAUAAUUUUUCUUUCACUUUGUUAAUAAAAAUAUACACAUUUGAAUUCUAUAAAACUAACAAAAAAUGGAAUAGUGGAUUAAAUCAGACAUGUCAAAAACUGUUGAGCUUCAACGAUGACAAGUGCUCUACAGCCUAACGUAUCUUCAAUGUCAAUCUCCUUGCUAGCUACAACCGCCACUGCUCCUCUCUUAUCAGCUUCGCUCAAGACGGAGUCUCCAUCGUUCUCGCAACACACGAAGAGAUCUCCGGCGCUUACGCCUCGCGAAUCGUGCUGGAUUCCGGUGAUAUCGACGUCUAAGUCGCCGUAAACUGAGAUCGGCACCACUUUGCUCUCGUCUAAGAGCUCAGCUAAGCUCAAUCUGAACUUAGGUUCCACGAUUCUGGCCUUGGAUCCACCGAAAUCAUCCAAAUCGAACUCGAAUUGGUGAUCGGAUCUAGUCUUGUUGAUCCUAGGGUUCCCUUCCUCGUCGACCCAAUCAUCUUCGUCGGAGACUUCGGUUAAUCCCGUUAGUUUAUCGAUCUCGUCUAAAUCCACAACCUCUUCUUCGUCGAGCUCAUCAACAACGUCGGUGACGUCAUCAUCUUCCUCCUCGUCGAUCUUCUUAUCCGACGCCGUUUUGGGAGGAUUAGGUUGGAGCAAUCCCUUUUUAACGAACUCGCUUCGUUUCAUGGAGAUAGCUCUAUCGAUAUCCGAGAACAGAUCGCCUCCUGAUUCCACGUCAUCACGUCCCGUCUCGGGCGCGUCCUCCACGUCAGCGAUGGCUGAGAGGUACGUGUUUCGAUUCUUCUCGAAGUCUUCCUCCUCUAGCUUCCUUGCGCGUGCGGCUUGGCGCUGAAUCUGCUGAAACUUCGAGACUCCGUGCAUUGAGUCCUCCGGGGCCUCGGGCGGGUCGUCGUCUGCUGGGUUCGGGUACGAGUUACGACGAGCAGGUGCCGCCGAUAGCUGAAGGUUGCGGGAAUUUCGGGAGGAUGGUAAGUAAACCGGUUUGUAGGAGAAGGAAGAAGUGGUUCCGGCUAGAGAGAGGAAGAGUGGGUGAGGAGAGAGGAAAGUGAACGCCAUUGGAGAGAACUGAGGGAGAGUGAUGAAAAGGUUUUUCGAGGGGAUAAGAGUUUUUGUUGCGAAACGGUGCGUGUAGGAUCAGAGACGCCGUUCAUACGGUGCG